GUGGGGAAUUUUGGACAAUGGGGGCAACCCUGAUCCAGCAAUGCCGCGUGCAGGAAGAAGGCCUUCGGGUUGUAAACUGCUUUUGUACGGAACGAAACGGUCCUGGUUAAUAUCUGGGGCUAAUGACGGUACCGUAAGAAUAAGCACCGGCUAACUACGUGCCAGCAGCCGCGGUAAUACGUAGGGUGCGAGCGUUAAUCGGAAUUACUGGGCGUAAAGCGUGCGCAGGCGGUUUUGUAAGACAGGCGUGAAAUCCCCGGGCUCAACCUGGGAAUGGCGCUUGGGACUGCAAGGCUGGAGUGCGGCAGAGGGGGAUGGAAUUCCGCGUGUAGCAGUGAAAUGCGUAGAUAUGCGGAGGAACACCGAUGGCGAAGGCAAUCCCCUGGGCCUGCACUGACGCUCAUGCACGAAAGCGUGGGGAGCAAACAGGAUUAGAUACCCAGUAGUCC
rnacentral:rRNA from 1 species